rnacentral:rRNA from 1 species
GGCCCAACUGAUAUGACGUGCUUGCACUGAUUUGACGAUGGAUUACCAGUGAGCGGCGGACGGGUGAGUAACACGUGGGCAACCUGCCCUGGAGCGGGGGAUAACAUUUGGAAACAGAUGCUAAUACCGCAUAAUAAUCAAAACCACAUGGUUUUGAUUUCAAAGAUGGCUUCGGCUAUCACUCCAGGAUGGGCCCGCGGUGCAUUAGCUAGUUGGUAAGGUAACGGCUUACCAAGGCGAUGAUGCAUAGCCGAGUUGAGAGACUGAUCGGCCACAAUGGAACUGAGACACGGUCCAUACUCCUACGGGAGGCAGCAGUAGGGAAUCUUCCACAAUGGGCGCAAGCCUGAUGGAGCAACACCGCGUGAGUGAAGAAGGGUUUCGGCUCGUAAAACUCUGUUGUUGAAGAAGAACGUGCGUGAGAGUAACUGUUCACGCAGUGACGGUAUUCAACCAGAAAGUCACGGCUAACUACGUG